UACGUAGGGGGCAAGCGUUGUCCGGAAUCAUUGGGCGUAAAGCGCGCGUAGGCGGCCCGGUAAGUCCGUUGUGAAAGUCAGAGGCUCAACCUUUGAACGCCGAUGGAUACUGCCGGGCUAGAGUCCGGAAGAGGCGAGUGGAAUUCCUGGUGUAGCGGUGGAAUGCGCAGAUAUCAGGAGGAACACCAAUAGCGAAGGCAGCUCGCUGGGACGGUACUGACGCUGAGGCGCGAAAAGCGUGGGGGAGCGAACAGG
rnacentral:rRNA from 1 species